GUAGUCCCAGCGCGGGAGACCGCCAGCAAUGGGAGAAGUUCAAUGGGCAGAAACAAAGAGAAGAGCAAGGAAGUCGAGAAUUUCAGACAUUGAGAAGGGAUAAGUGGAAGGAGAAAAUGUUGGGCUGGUGUCAAGCGAUAGCUCGUAACCCUCACAGACUCCCAAACAUCACAAGAACACCCGAGGUCUCAGGUGAUGCUUCACAUACCUCUACCUUGCAUGACAAAUCCCCAGGGCGCUCUACAAGUCGAUCAAGUAACAUUUCAAAGGCAAGCAGUCCUACAACAGGAACAGCUCCUAGGAGUCAGUCACGGUUGUCUGUAUGCCCUUCUACUCAGGACAUCUGUAGGAUCUGUCACUGUGAGGGAGAUGAUGAAAGCCCCCUCAUCACACCAUGUCGCUGUACAGGGACCCUACGCUUUGUUCAUCAGGCCUGCCUGCACCAAUGGAUUAAAAGCUCAGAUACACGCUGUUGUGAACUCUGCAAGUAUGACUUUAUAAUGGAGACCAAGCUCAAACCUCUCCGGAAGUGGGAGAAACUACAGAUGACAACAAGUGAAAGGAGGAAGAUAGUCUGUUCAGUUACAUUCCAUAUUAUUGCUAUUACCUGUGUUGUUUGGUCGUUGUAUGUUUUAAUAGAUCGGACUGCUGAGGAAAUUAAGCAAGGCAAUGACAAUGGUGUCCUUGAAUGGCCAUUUUGGACAAAACUGGUUGUGGUAGCAAUUGGGUUCACUGGAGGCCUAGUCUUCAUGUAUGUACAGUGUAAAGUCUACAUUCAGUUGUGGCGCAGAUUGAAGGCUUACAAUCGAGUGAUCUUUGUUCAAAACUGCCCGGACACUGCCAAAAAACUGGAGAAGAAUUCUUCAUGCAUUCAGAACUCUGAAAUCAAGGAUGCUGUGGUAGUGCCAGUAUCACAGACAGGUACAAACUCUCAGCAUUCAGCUGAAGAAAUGACCUCUGAGGUCAUGCCAGUUUGACAGAGGUGGCAUUGUUUCUUCAAUGACAGUGUGUGUGUGUGUGUUUUUUACACCACAGCUACUACAAUCAUGCAUUUUAAAUAAAAACAAAAAACCCUGACCAGGGAAAUGGAUACAGUGAAGCAACAUGCAUUACUUAUGGAAUGUGACCGUUUGUGAAAUAGUUUCGCAGUCAGCCAGGUGUAGUGGAAAUGUAGAAAGCACAACAGAGAACAAUUCUCACAGACAUGACAAAAUGACCUUUUUAACUUGAUGAUCAGGAGGAAUUGAAAACAGACUUGUUCUGUUACAGAAAACAUCAACAACUUUCUAUUUGUUACCACUAGGCAUCUUAUUCGCUAAUCAUCUUAAAAAUACACUUCAGGGUGACACUACUAAAAAGUCAUUUGCAUUAAACUUAAAUCAACAAAGUAAACAGACCUGCACCAUGUCACUCUCUUUCUAAAGUAAUCGUUGAAUGGCUACAGUGGAGCCUGAAUGUUUCGGCAGCCAUGUGAGCUGAGGAUGUGUGUUUAUUUUUCUUUUUGCAAAAUAAGCAAUUUCAACAAGUAGUCUUCAAACUGCCUCAAACACUUUCUUGGUCCCAUAAAAUACAAGUAUUAUUUAGCGACAAGGCUAAAAUUAUUGGCUCUACAUCUGGAACAACACUUUUAGUGCUGCUUAUCUUAAAAUAAAAUAAAGACUUGUUAAGUGGUGAAUUAACAUGAACUCUCUGCCUAUAUAUAUAGAAAGGAUAUAUAGAAAAGUUUUUCUCCAAAAUGCAAAAAGACGAAGUAUAAUCAGAGGCAUUACAGGUUGAAGUAUGCAGUUCAUUACAAAAGAAUAUGAAAUGAAUUUAUACCCUCACACCCCUAGGAAUGACAGUUAAAGUGUGGGGGGGGCAGAGGUAGAAUUUUUUAAGAGUUCAUGCUUCAACAAUUAAGGUAUCACAAAAGAGCAUACCUGGACCUAUUAAAAGAUGCCAGUAUCGCCCUGUUCCGACUUGACUGGAUAGUUCUCCUCUGUUCAGGAUAAGACUGUGCGAUUAGGGAUUCAACAGUUCAGUUGUUAAUUUUGUGUUUUGAGCAUUUUCAUGUAAAACUGAAGUGUGAAUAACAUUAAAGAGUGCAAUAGAUAAAUAAAUGUAGAA